GGANUUGGUCAUGGACGAGAGUCUGAACCAGCCAUGCCGCGUGCAGGAAGAAGGCCCUCUGGGUUGUAAACUGCUUUUGAUAGGGGCCAAAAUACUCAUGCGUGAGGAAUUGAGAGUACCUAUAGAAUAAGCACCGGCUAACUCCGUGCCAGCAGCCGCGGUAAUACGGAGGGUGCAAGCGUUGUCCGGAUUUAUUGGGUUUAAAGGGUGCGUAGGUGGCCUUAUAAGUCAGUGGUGAAAGUCUGCAGCUUAACUGU
rnacentral:rRNA from 1 species